CCUACGGGAGGCAGCAGUGAGGAAUAUUGGUCAAUGGGCGGAAGCCUGAACCAGCCAAGUAGCGUGCAGGAUGACGGCCCUACGGGUUGUAAACUGCUUUUAUACGGGAAUAACGCGCCUUACGCGUAGGGCUUUGCAUGUACCGUAUGAAUAAGGACCGGCUAAUUCCGUGCCAGCAGCCGCGGUAAUACGGAAGGUCCGGGCGUUAUCCGGAUUUAUUGGGUUUAAAGGGAGCGUAGGCCGCAUGUCAAGCGUGCUGUGAAAUGUCCGGGCUCAACCCGGGCCCUGCAGCGCAAACUGGCGUGCUUGAGUCCGCGGAAAGCAGGCGGAAUGCGUCGUGUAGCGGUGAAAUGCUUAGAUAUGGCGCAGAACCCCGAUUGCGAAGGCAGCAUGCUGCAGCGGAACUGACGCUGAUGCUCGAAAGCGCGGGUAUCGAACAGGAUUAGAUACCCCUGUAGUC
rnacentral:rRNA from 1 species